rnacentral:rRNA from 1 species
AACGAACGCUGGCGGCAGGCUUAACACAUGCAAGUCGAACGCCCCGCAAGGGGAGUGGCAGACGGGUGAGUAACGCGUGGGAAUCUACCCAUCUCUACGGAAUAACUCAGGGAAACUUGUGCUAAUACCGUAUACGCCCUUCGGGGAAAGAUUUAUCGGAGAUGGAUGAGCCCGCGUUGGAUCAGCUAGUUGGUGGGGUA